GCAAAGCACUUGAAGCAGCGUAGCCUAGCUACUUCUGUAUCAGGAAACCUAUAAGCUGUUGAACUUUUCUCUUUAGAAAUUUGCCAUAACCAGCCCUAAAUCUUCAGAUGACAACACGGAAAUUUUCUUCCUGGGCUUAGCAAAGCCUGUGCACCCUUGAUGGUAUUUAGUAAUUGGUUAUAUAGUGGUGUGUUUUGUUUUAUUUUGGUCAGGCUUUGGGAAAAUCCCUAAGGAACCAGAGGAUUUUAACAUCACACUGCAGUAAUACUUUCUAAUAAUUAUUAUUGAUAGGGUUCACAGGAUGUGAGCACUGGGUUUCAUCAUGGCACUGCAAGAAUGAGUGUCCCUUCCCAGAUUCAACAGUGUACAUAUUGCAACAGAGAAAAAGAAGACAUAAUGUUUGCAACUUCCUUUAAGAAGUCUGUCAGAAAUCUAUGCUUGAUUGCUUUUUAAAUGUUUCUAUGAGAGAGUGAAAACUUGGUCCCCAGUACCUUGAACAAGACCUUAGUUGUGGGCAAACUCCCUAGUCUUCCCCACAUAACAGAAAACUGUGCUGGUUUGGUGCUCUGGACAACUCACCAGAGAAUCUACCUUCUGCAAAGAGCUGGAAGCAACAUGAGCAACUGAGAGAAACUUAGGCCAGCCUCUGUCCAGUUCAAACUGGUUGAGACCACCAAUUCUUCAAGUGCCUGAGAGAUGUCAGAGGGUCAAAAACUCCAACCUCAGAUUAUGCUAACACUGCCAUUUUUCUGUACACACGUCCUAUGUAAUGCCAUGAACUCUGGCUUCAUUUGUGCAGGAUGAGCCUGUUACUUCAUUUUUUCCCAGUGCCAAUUACAUUUCCCCAUACCUCAGACCACCAAAUUUCCCUAAACCAUAAAUAUCCCUAAGCCUAAUCUUCAGGGAGGCUUAUUUCAGAGCUAUUCUCCCACCUCCUCAC